rnacentral:rRNA from 1 species
AUUGAACGCUGGCGGCAUGCCUUACACAUGCAAGUCGAACGGCAGCACGGGAGCAAUCCUGGUGGCGAGUGGCGAACGGGUGAGUAAUAUAUCGGAACGUGCCCAGUAGUGGGGGAUAACUGCUCGAAAGAGCAGCUAAUACCGCAUACGACCUGAGGGUGAAAGGGGGGGAUCGCAAGACCUCUCGCUAUUGGAGCGGCCGAUAUCAGAUUAGCUAGUUGGUAGGGUAAAGGCCUACCAAGGCAACGAUCUGUAGUUGGUCUGAGAGGACGACCAGCCACACUGGGACUGGGACACGGCCCAGACUCCUACGGGAGGCAGCAGUGGGGAAUUUUGGACGAUGGGCGCAAGCCUGAUCCAGCAAUGCCGCGUGCAGGAAGAAGGCCUUCGGGUUGUAAACUGCUUUUGUCAGGGAAGAAAUCCUCUAGGUUAAUACCCUUGGGGGGAUGACGGUACCUGAAGAAUAAGCACCGGCUAACUACGUGCCAGCAGCCGCAGUAACAC